CCUACGGGAGGCAGCAGUGGGGAAUAUUGCACAAUGGGGGAAACCCUGAUGCAGCGACGCCGCGUGAGUGAAGAAGUAACUCGGUAUGUAAAGCUCUAUCAGCAGGGAAGAAAAUGACGGUACCUGAGGAAGAAGCCACGGCUAACUACGUGCCAGCAGCCGCGGUAAUACGUAGGGGGCAAGCGUAAUCCGGAUUUACUGGGUGUAAAGGGAGCGUAGACGGCAGUGCAAGUCUGGAGUGAAAGGCUAGGGCUCAACCCUCGUACUGCUCUGGAAACUGUGGGGCUGGAGUGCAGGAGAGGCAGGUGGAAUUCCUAGUGUAGCGGUGAAAUGCGUAGAUAUUAGGAGGAACACCAGUGGCGAAGGCGGCUUGCUGGACCGUAACUGACGUUGAGGCUCGAAAGCGUGGGGAGCAAACAGGAUUAGAUACCCUGGUAGUC
rnacentral:rRNA from 1 species